AUUGAACGCUGGCGGAAUGCUUUACACAUGCAAGUCGAACGGUAGAGGGGGCAACCCCUUGAGAGUGGCGAACGGGUGAGUAAUAUAUCGGAACGUGCCCAGUCGUGGGGAUAACGUAGCGAAAGUUACGCUAAUACCGCAUACGAUCUACGGAUGAAAGCGGGGGACUCGCAAGAGCCUCGCGCGAUUGGAGCGGCCGAUAUCAGAUUAGGUAGUUGGUGGGGUAAAGGCUCACCAAGCCAACGAUCUGUAGCUGGUCUGAGAGGACGACCAGCCACACUGGAACUGAGACACGGUCCAGACUCCUACGGGAGGCAGCAGUGGGGAAUUUUGGACAAGUGGACGCAAGUCUGAUCCAGCCAUUCCGCGUGCAGGAUGAAGGCCC
rnacentral:rRNA from 1 species